rnacentral:siRNA from 1 species
GGUGGUCCGCCUAUCUUUUCAG